GAUGAAGAACGUAGCGAAAUGCGAUAAGUAGUGUGAAUUGCAGAAUUCAGUGAAUCAUCGAAUCUUUGAACGCACAUUGCGCCCUUUGGUAUUCCUUAGGGCAUGCCUAUUCGAGCGUCAUUAUCACCCCUCAAGCCUAGCUUGGUGUUGAGGCCUGCUGUCAAGGCAGCCUCUAAAAUCAGUGGCAGUGCUGUCAGGCUCUAAGCGUAGUAAAUCUAAUCGCUAUAGACACCUGGUGGACACUCGCCAGAACCCCCCCAUUUUUUAAUGAUUGACCUCGGAUUAGGUAGGGAUACCCGCUGAACUUAAGCAUAUCAAUAAGCGGAGGA
rnacentral:misc_RNA from 1 species